UCCGGAUUUAAUUAUGAUAAGUUAAGGACAAAAAAAUUAUUUCGGGAUACAAAGUCGGGAUUCUUGACCUUCGAUUUUAUUUUGAGAUAUAUGUGGUGCAUGAAUUUAUUGGUAUGGAACAAUUAGGAAAAUUUGGGACCAAAAGUGAUAAAAAUUGGAAGAUAAAAAUUAUCCACAAACAAUAAGAGAUAUUAUGGGGACUUAAAAAGAUGACCUUAAGUCAUCUCCUCACCAUUCUAUACUUAGCAAAAAAAAAAAAAAAAAAGUGGAAGAACCAAGGGGGAGCUCACGGCUAGGAGCAAGAAAACCAACCCCCAUUUCUUUGCCUUCAAAAAUUAAUUUCUUGGUGUUAACCCACUAUAUUGAAGUCCCUAAGUAGCGUGGAAGAGUUGUUUGGGUCAUCUAACCAUUCAUUGUAUCCAAUUGCAAACCCUAGGCUAUUGUAAAGUUGAAGAAGAAAAGAUCGUGGGCAGCCCGAAUCAUAGGUUGGAUUUAGCUUGAGUUUGGAUCGUAUUGGAGAGCGUUUGAGGUACGGACGCACAGCCUGGUGAUCCACCUGUUUAGGACACCCUUUCUGCUAUUCGGAGUGCUCCUCUCUUUCCGGAGCUUAUACUUUUGGUAUAUAUAUAUUUUAUUAGUGCAUUUGUAUAUAUUCGUUCAUGGGUACGGCGGGGCCCUGUCCUGUCAUAUGAUUCUGUCGGUCUGUUUAGAGGUCUGUGGACAUGUUUGUGGGUUAGGGUCUUUCUGUAUGGAUGUAUGUACAUGUCGUUUGGGCGAUCCCAUACGCCGAGGCGGCCGGUCCGCAUAUGUUGUUUGGGCGAUCCUAUACGCCUAGGCAGCCGGUCCGCAUAUGUUUAUAUAUUGCUUGGUUAGCCCUGUGUGGCUUUUGUUGGUAUUUUCUGCGUGCAGGGUAUAUUGGAUAGUCCGUAAAACAAAGGA